CAGACGGUGGUUUAGUGGCAAAAUUACCGCUUGCCAUUUUUCAACUUGCGGUAGCCCCGAGUUCGAUUCUCGGCCGUCUGA